UACGGAGGGUGCAAGCGUUGUCCGGAUUCAUUGGGUUUAAAGGGUGCGCAGGCGGGCCAUUAAGUCAGGGGUGAAAGACGGUUGCUCAACAAUCGCAGUGCCUUUGAUACUGGUGGUCUUGGGUGACCUUGAGGUAGGCGGAAUGGGUGGUGUAGCGGUGAAAUGCGUAGAGAUCUGGAAGAACACCAAAGGCGAAGGCAGCGUCCUGGGAAGUGACUGACGCUCAUGUGCGAAAGCUAGGGGAGCGAACGGG
rnacentral:rRNA from 1 species